rnacentral:rRNA from 1 species
CAAGUCAGAUGUGAAAGCCUUCUGUUCAACGGAAGAAUUGCAUCUGAAACUGCUAAUCUUGAGUAUAGGAGGGGAGAAUGGAACUUCUGGUGGAGCGGUGAAAUGCGUAGAUAUCAGAAGGAACGCCGGCGGCGAGAGCGAUUCUCUGGCCUAUUACUGACACUCAGUGUGCGAAAGCUAGGGGAGCAAACGGGAUUAGAUACCCCGGUAGUCCUAGCCGUAAACGAUGGGCACUAAGUAGAGGGAAUUACCUAUAUUCUCUCUGCCGUAGCUAACGCAUUAAGUGCCCCGCCUGGGGAGUACGGCCGCAAGGCUAAAACUCAAAAGAAUUGACGGGGGCUCGCACAAGCGGUGGAGCAUGUGGCUUAAUUCGAUGCAACGCGAAAAACCUUACCGGGGCUUGACAUGAUAGAAGUAGGAACCUGAAAGGGGGACGAACGGUAUCCAGUCCGUAGCUAUUACAGGUGUUGCAUGGCUGUCGUCAGCUCGUGUCGUGAGACGUUGGGUUAAGUCCCCUAACGAGCGAAACCCUUGUUUUUAGUUACCAGCGGGUUAUGCCGGGUACUCUAGAAAGACUGCCGUCGUCAAGACGGAGGAAGGUGGGGGAUGACGUCAAGUCAUCAUGGCCCUUAUGCCCCGGGCUGCACACGUGCUACAAUGGUCGGUACAGACGGAAGCGAAG